rnacentral:rRNA from 1 species
UACGUAGGCGGAAAAUUAAGUCAGUAGUGAAAUCCUGCAGCUUAACUGUAGAACUGUUAUUGAUACUGGUUUUCUUGAAUUUAGUUGAGGUAGGCGGAAUGUGUAAUGUAGCGGUGAAACGCUUAGAUAUUACACAGAACACCGAUUGCGAAGGCAGCUUACUAAGCUAUGAUUGACGCUGAGGUACGAAAGCGUGGGGAGCGAACAGGAUUAGAUACCCUGGUAGUCC